CCCAGCUGGAGGCAACUGCCUAGGUUACCUUGUACCUAGGUAAGUGUUACACGGCCGUGAGAAAAGCAGCCAGUAGCUGGCAGACAUUCUGAGCCUGGUUAAUGCCAAAUUUGUGUUAACCAUACCAGUGUGCCAGCAUA
rnacentral:snoRNA from 1 species